CCAAUGGCUACUAUAAUACAAUUGCCCGAAGAAGUGAUUGCUAUUCUAGAACACAAAACCAUCACCAUUGAAGAUAUUAUAAAUUUUGAGUGCACGCAUAAGAGAUUCUGGCAGAUAAUACUCUGCAAGUUCUGGGAAAAGAAAUAUUAUCAGAGAGCAAUUUUCUUUGUGGAAAGAUAACAAUAUUGAUGAUAAUUUUUGGAGCGAAGCGGAAUCAAGGCAAAUAAUGUGUGUUCUCGAAAAAUAUAUAUCUUCUAAGUUAGAAAUUCAUAAAUUGCACAAUUAUUAAUGAUAUCAGAUCUCGAAGCCAAAUACAUAAAAUAUAUUGUAAGAUGUUUUCGAAGAUAUCUAUUGACUGCUACGUGACUGCCACAUCGAAACUAGAAAACUCGGCAUAUAUAGCGUUCUGAUGAUAAAAUGAAGUAGAUAUUGCAUCGUAUGGAAACCAAAACAGUAAGUAAUUUUAAUUCAUUGUUAAAACUUUUUCAAUCUUUCUGGUAUAUAU